ACCUCACAGCUAAGAAGCAGGUGAUCAGCAGCUUCAGCAGAGGGUGAUCCCAGGCACAUCUGAAAAUAUGUGGGUUAACAGACCUUUGAUGCAGUAUUUGCCGAAGAUUUGUCGUUGAUAGGGCUGACCUUAGCUGCUCUCCCUGGUUCUGACCCUCCUGGGUUGACAUUAGGCCUGACCUCUUGUCUUGCUUCUGCCCAGUGGUUACUAGACCAUUGACAGAACCUGCCGUGGUCAUCAAACUGCCCUGCUUCGGACUGUGCCUCCUCUGUGAUGUCACUUCUUGUCCUCGGUGAGGUCAUCAAUGAUGUCACUGCUCCUCCUCAGCGAGGCCACUGGCCCUGUGUGCCAGAUCAUCUUGCCCCGUGGAGCAGCCCUGCUGUCACCACCCUCUGGCAGCAGCUGUGCAGGAGUUUGCACAGUUUGCCUUUGUGCUGCCCACCUCCAGGCCAGAUGUGUGACAGAAAGGCUCACGGCACAACCUGGAGCAGUCUGAAAAUAACCCCGGGGUGGCCACAUGUCAGGAAUCCAAAGGAGGCUUUGUGGUAGUGAUGGAGUGCAGAGAUUACUUAAAAAACUCAGCGGAAGACAGACACUGCUCAGAAACCUCUAUAUUUCUUCCCAGUAAGGACAUGCUGCUGAGAAAACACGGCUCCAAACACUGCUCCAGAUUUCAGGAGAAUAAAAUUUCUCACAAA